UUUUUUUUUUUUUUUUUAAAGUAACUGUUGAGGGCAGCCCAGGUGGCUCAGCGGUUUAGCGCUGCCUUCAGCCCAGGGUGUGAUCUUGGAGACCUGGGAUCGAGUCCCAUGUCCGGCUCCCUGCAUGGAGCUUUCUCCCACUGCAUGCGUCUCUGCCUCUCUCUUUCUCUGUGUCUCUCAUGAAUGAAUAAAUAAAUAAAUAACCUUUAAAAAAAAUAAAGUAACUGUUGGUCCUUUUGGCACUAAAGAGGUACAAGAACCUUAAGAUUCUAUUUAAAAGCAUAAUCUCAUUUUAUGCCAUCAUGGAAUUUAUUUGUCAAUAAAAAUAUCAUUACGAAAAGGAAGAUGUUGGUUGACAAUGAAGUUGCAAAUCAAAAUCAGCUAGACAAUUUGAUAAACAACAAAAUAACUGUGCAUUUGUAGGAAAUGCCUCUAUAAACAAAAAUAUAUAUUUAGUUGGUAGUUUCUUCCUUUAUGUACAUAUUAAACUCACUUCAAUGUUUAGUUUCUUUUAUCAAGAGUAUGUGUUUUUUAAGUGCUAAUAUAGAUGAAGGAAAUCCAAACUUUUAAAUAUUAAAAAAUAUAUGUAUAUACACACACACACACACACACAGUAUUCGAUUUAAUACUGAAUUUCCCCAGCUACAGUAAAUUAGAGAUUAAAUCUCUCUGUUUCCUUGAAAAAAAAAUCACGGAGCAGCUGUCUUCUCUGAUAGAAGACUAUUUAAUCUUUAAAUCAUUUUGAACUGGCUCAGUUGCUUUACUGAUCCUUUAACUUUGUCAAAAAUUAUCUUAGAAGCUUAUCUUUGAGAGAAAUCAGAGAUAAAGGAGCUAAUUAAUGGAGAUGAGAGUUCUGAGGUUCUGAAUCAUAUGUGGUCAGUGAAUGGUGGAUAAGGUGGAAGGAGACUUCAAAAUGAAAACUUCAAAGAUUGUUAUGAUUUCUCAUGGGCUGUUUUGAAAACUAGCUCAUUUUUAUUGCUAGGGGGAUGUUUGCAGGGAAAGGGAGUAAAGGCAAUCAGCAAAGAAAUGAUGGAACUAGAAAGUUAUCGCAAACCUUUGUUUCUCUGAAGGCUUUGUAGAUCAGAGAACCACCUCAAGCUCUACUCACUUUCUCACUGACCUUGCAUUCCCUUGUUUUCCUUUAAUUUAUUGCUGUGCUAAUCUGACUUAAAAUGGGCAAGACUUGCAAAAAGAAAAGCAAUUAUUGAAGUAUCUAUGAAGAAAGUUCUGUUAUUUUAAUGUGUGGGAUGCCCCCAUUUCUCUCAACUACUGCUAUGGAAGCAAGAUUUUAUGUAACUGGCCCACCAGUCUUUUUCAUCAACUCCUGCUUUAGAGUGAGUAUUGAUGGGAGCAGAGGGCACCCAGUCUGUGGCCUGGGGCAGAUAGGGAGAACCAAGGUGGAGCCGCAGUAGUUCAAGGGCACUGAGACACAGGGACAGAGGCUUGGCAUCUUCU
rnacentral:lncRNA from 1 species